UACGUAGGGUGCGAGCGUUAAUCGGAAUUACUGGGCGUAAAGCGUGCGUAGGCGGUUCGCUGUGUCCGAUGUGAAAGCCCCGGGCUUAACCUGGGAAUGGCAUUGGAAACUGGCGGGCUUGAGUGUGGCAGAGGGGGGUGGAAUUCCGCGUGUAGCAGUGAAAUGCGUAGAUAUCGGGAGGAACACCUAUGGCGAAGGCAGCUCGCUGGGACGUUACUGACGCUGAGACGCGAAAGCGUGGGGAGCAAACAGG
rnacentral:rRNA from 1 species